rnacentral:rRNA from 1 species
CUAAUACAUGCAAGUCGAACGAGAUCUUCGGAUCUAGUGGCGCACGGGUGCGUAACGCGUGGGAAUCUGCCCUUGGGUUCGGAAUAACAUCUGGAAACGGAUGCUAAUACCGGAUGAUGACGUAAGUCCAAAGAUUUAUCGCCCAAGGAUGAGCCCGCGUAGGAUUAGCUAGUUGGUGAGGUAAAGGCUCACCAAGGCUACGAUCCUUAGCUGGUCUGAGAGGAUGAUCAGCCACACUGGGACUGAGACACGGCCCAGACUCCUACGGGAGGCAGCAGUAGGGAAUAUUGGACAAUGGGGGCAACCCUGAUCCAGCAAUGCCGCGUGAGUGAUGAAGGCCUUAGGGUUGUAAAGCUCUUUUACCCGAGAUGAUAAUGACAGUAUCGGGAGAAUAAGCUCCGGCUAACUCCGUGCCAGCAGCCGCGGUAAUACGGAGGGAGCUAGCGUUGUUCGGAAUUACUGGGCGUAAAGCGCACGUAGGCGGUUAUUUAAGUCAGAGGUGAAAGCCCGGGGCUCAACCCCGGAACUGCCUUUGAGACUGGAUAACUUGAAUCCAGGAGAGGUGAGUGGAAUUCCGAGUGUAGAGGUGAAAUUCGUAGAUAUUCGGAAGAACACCAGUGGCGAAGGCGGCUCACUGGACU